GAUCCUGGCUCGGGAUGAACGCUAGCUACAGUCUUAACACAUGCAAGUCGAGGGGCAGCGGGAUUGAAGCUUGCUUCAAUUGCCGGCGACCGGCGCACGGGUGAGUAACGUGUAUCCAACCUUCCGUACACUCAGGGAUAGCCUUUCGAAAGAAAGAUUAAUACCUGAUGGUAUCUUAAGCACACAUGUAAUUAAGAUUAAAAAUUUAUCGGUGUACGAUGGGGAUGCGUUCCAUUAGGUAGUAGGCGGGG
rnacentral:rRNA from 1 species